rnacentral:rRNA from 1 species
CUCUCCAAUUGUUUUUGCUUGCAUAAAUGAUUUUUGGAUUCGGAGCGAGUGGCGAACUGGUGAGUAACACGUGGGUAACCUGCCCCGAAGCGGGGGAUAACAUUUGGAAACAAGUGCUAAUACCGCAUAAUUAGUUGGAACCGCAUGGUUCCAACUUGAAAGAUGGCUCUGCUAUCACUUUGGGAUGGACCCGCGCCGUAUUAGUUAGUUGGUGAGAUAAAAGCCCACCAAGACGAUGAUACGUAGCCGACCUGAGAGGGUAAUCGGCCACAUUGGGACUGAGACACGGCCCAGACUCCUACGGGAGGCAGCAGUAGGGAAUCUUCCACAAUGGACGAAAGUCUGAUGGAGCAACGCCGCGUGAGUGAUGAAGGUUUUCGGAUCGUAAAACUCUGUUGUUAAAGAAGAACAAGUGUUAGAGUAACUGUUAACACUUUGACGGUAUUUAACCAGAAAGCCACGGCUAACUACGUGCCAGCAGCCGCGGUAAUACGUAGGUGGCAAGCGUUGUCCGGAUUUAUUGGGCGUAAAGCGAGCGCAGGCGGUUUUGUAAGUCUGCUGUGAAAGCCCUCAGCUCAACUGAGGAAGUGCAGUGGAAACUACAAAACUUGAGUACAGAAGAGGAAAGUGGAACUCCAUGUGUAGCGGUGAAAUGCGUAGAUAUAUGGAAGAACACCAGUGGCGAAGGCGGCUUUCUGGUCUGUUACUGACGCUGAGGCUCGAAAGCAUGGGUAGCGAACAGGAUUAGAUACCCUGGUAGUCCAUGCCGUAAACGAUGAAUACUAGGUGUUGGAGGGUUUCCGCCCUUCAGUGCCGCAGCUAACGCAUUAAGUAUUCCGCCUGGGGAGUACGACCGCAAGGUUGAAACUCAAAGGAAUUGACGGGGGCCCGCACAAGUGGUGGAGCAUGUGGUUUAAUUCGAUGCUACGCGAAGAACCUUACCAGCUCUUGACAUCUUCUGCUAACCCAAGAGAUUGGGCGUUCCCUUCGGGGACAGAAUGACAGUGGUGCAUGGUUGUCGUCAGCUCGUGUCGUGAGAUGUUGGGUUAAGUCCGCACGAGCGCACCUAUUAUUAAUUGCCAGCAUUUAUUGGCACUUUUAAGGAAACUGCCGGGAUAAACCGGGGAGGUGGGGACAACGUA